rnacentral:rRNA from 1 species
AAAUUAUCCUCAUAAGUUAGACGAUAAGAGGUACCAUCUAUGAUUUCUAAUAUAAAAGCUUUGAUCUCUGACUUUCCCUAAAGGAGGGUAAGUUAUUAAAUGUCUUAUAUAAUUGAAAGAUAGAGGGUGGCACAGAAUCGGAGGCCCCGACUGUUUACUAAAAACACAACACAGUGCAAUCAUUAAUGUGGUAGUAUACUGUGUGAAAUUUGCCCAAUGCCAUUAAUAUAAAAGCGGUCAUGGGAAACUGUGACUAAUUGAAAAUCUGGUUAAUAGCGGUCUUAACCAUGAGGAUCCUAAGGUAGCAAAAUAAAUUGGCCAUUAAAUGUGGUCCGGUAUCAAUAAUGUAACGAUGGCCUCACUGUCUCUACAACUUGCUCAGUGAAAUUGAAUUACGCGUGCAGAUGCGCGUUACCUCCAGUGGGACGGGAAGACCCUAUGCACAUUCU